GUCAAGUCAUCAUGGCCCUUAUGUCCAGGGCUACACACGUGCUACAAUGGGCGGUACAAAGUGACGCGAAGCCGUGAGGCGGGAGCGAAUCACCGAAAGCCGUCCGUAGUUCGGAUUGAAGUCUGAAACCCGACUUCAUGAAGUUGGAAUCGCUAGUAAUCGCGCAUCAGCAUGGCGCGGUGAAUACGUUCCCGGGCCUU
rnacentral:rRNA from 1 species